rnacentral:lncRNA from 1 species
CUUGUUUAACUUUGGAGUUACUCAGCCAACAGUAGAAUGUGUUUUCACACAUGAAAACAGAAAUUCAGAUUUUAAUUAACCCAGUGAAUUUGCCUGAAAAUAUGCUUCCUGGAACACAGCUAAGUCGUGCUUAUGAUAAAGAUGUGGCUGGAAAGGGAGAUGUCUGCCGUUUUCUGAAUAAAACAAAAGAUUUUGUCAUCGAUGCAAGUUCUGGUGUCAUCACUGCUACCAAAAUUUUUAAUUAUGAAACAGAUCCAAUAAGGUUUCUUCUGAUAGUUGAUACUAGGCUGUCUAGACAUGUUUUGACCAUUAAUAUUAUUGAUGUUCCUGAAUCUCCAAACUGUACUGCUGAUCCCAAAUUUUCUUCAGGCACAGCUACCUUAGAAAUUGAUGAGAACUAUCCAUUAUUUCAGUUCAUUUAUAGAGUGACGGCCACAGAUGAGGACUUCGCAAAUGGUGAUUGGCUGAAUUACACCAUUGAGACACAGUUAUCUGGACCAAAGAAAGGAGCAAACUCUUUUGGAGUGGAUCCUGUAAGUGGUGUUGUUAGUGUAAGAGGUGAAGAUCCCCUGGAUUUUGAUGCUGGAUAUCAUGUAAUUAAAAUGUGUAUUUAUUUUUCCAUGCAGAAUGAAACAGAAUUUGUAUCACUUUGA